GGAUGCGAUCNNNNNAGCACUAAAGCACCAGAUCCCAUCAAAACUCUGAAGUUAAGCGUGCUUGGGCGAGCGUCGCACUAGGAUGGGUGACCUCCUGGGAAGCCACUCUGU
rnacentral:rRNA from 1 species